rnacentral:rRNA from 1 species
GUCCUACGGGUGGCAGCAGUGGGGAAUAUUGGGCAAUGGGCGCAAGCCUGACCCAGCCAUGCCGCGUGAGUGACGACGGCCUUAGGGUUGUAAAGCUCUUUUGGCGGGGACGAUAAUGACGGUACCCGCAGAAUAAGCCCCGGCUAACUUCGUGCCAGCAGCCGCGGUAAUACGAAGGGGGCUAGCGUUGUUCGGAAUCACUGGGCGUAAAGCGCACGUAGGCGGACUUUCAAGUCAGGGGUGAAAUCCCGGGGCUCAACCUCGGAACUGCCUUUGAUACUGUUGGUCUAGAGUCCGGAAGAGGUGGGUGGAAUUCCUAGUGUAGAGGUGAAAUUCGUAGAUAUUAGGAAGAACACCGGUGGCGAAGGCGGCCCACUGGUCCGGUACUGACGCUGAGGUGCGAAAGCGUGGGGAGCAAACAGGAUUAGAUACCCGGGUAGUC